ACUGACGCUGAAGCUCGAAGUGCGGGUACGAACAGGAUUGAUACCUGGUAGUCCGCACGGUAAACGAUGGAUGCCCGCUGUUGUCCAGCGGCCAAGCGAAAGCAUUAAGCAUCCCACUGGGGAGUACGCCGGCAACGGUGAAACUCAAAGGAAUUGACGGGGGCCCGCACAAGCGGAGGAACAUGUGGUUUAAUUCGAUGAUACGCGAGGGACCUUACCCGGGCUUGAAUUGAGGUGCUGCAUGGUUGUCGUCAGCUCGUGCCGUGAGGUGUCGGCUUAAGUGCCAUAACGAGCGCAACCCCUCUCCUUAGUUGCCACUCUGGGGACACUGCCACCGUAAGGUGUGAGGAAGGUGGGGAUGACGUCAAAUCAGCACGGCCCUUACGUCCGGGGCUACACACGUGUUACAAUGGCAGGUACAGAGAGAUGGUGUUCUGCAAAGCGCAUCUAAUCCUUAAAGCCUGUCUCAGUUCGGACUGGGGUCUGCAACCCGACCCCACGAAGCUGGAUUCGCUAGUAAUCGCGCAUCAGCAUGGCGCGGUGAAUACGUUCCCGGGCCUUGUACACACCGCCCGUC
rnacentral:rRNA from 1 species